UGACCGUGAGGUUUGUAGGCUGAAAAGGGAGACUCCUUGAACUUGGCAGAUUAAAUUUCACAUCUGGAAUUGAAUUGAGAAUUUGGCAGCUCUUCAAAUUCUCGCUUUCUGUCGUGAAUCCGUGACUUGUAGUGAAUUAAAGAUGGAAGAUGAAGAAGUUUGAAAUUGGAGAGUCUCCAUAGAAGGGGUAUCGGCCAAGAGGGAGAAGGAAGAAGAAAAGGAUUUUGGGCUUGCAAAAGAAAUUCUUUGAAGAAAUUGGGCUCAAAAUCUAUCUCCCACAUUUUAUUUAUUUGUUGAAGUUCAUAGGCCCAAAAUGAUUUAUUUUGUUGUAAAUAAAUCAAGCCCAAAGCCAAAUUGUAAAAAUAAAACAUUGGACUUUCUUUAUAUUUAUUUGGAUCGGCCCAAGUUCUUAUU